rnacentral:rRNA from 1 species
GCAAAUCUCAAAAAGACCGUCCCAGUUCGGAUCGCAGGCUGCAACCCGCCUGCGUGAAGUUGGAAUCGCUAGUAAUCGCGGAUCAGCAUGCCGCGGUGAAUACGUUCCCGGGCCUUGUACACACCGCCCGUCACACCAUGAGAGUCGGGAACACCCGAAGUCCGUAGCCUAACCGCAAGGGGGGCGCGGCCGAAGGUGGGUUCGAUAAUUGGGGUGAAGUCGUAACAAGGUAUC